CAUAAACUAUAACAUAUGGAAAUUGCUUAGUACAUAUGGAACGUGGAAGGCAGGUUUUCCGAAACUCAAUAAGUUUGUCUGGUUAUUUACGAGUGGCUUAGUAAUAAUAUCGUUUACAGUUGAUGGACUUUUUUCAAUUGGUCGAUCAAAUCAAUGGCAAACAAAAACCAAUUUGCUAAGUUGCUAUUUAAUUACAUAUGACUGGAGUGCAAUAAUAUUCGUGCAUGGGCCAGCAAUAAUUUUAAUAUUGAUUAAUGUAAUACUAGCGAUUAUGACGGGAAGACAUAUUUAUUUGGAAAAUGCUCGAAAUGCUCGUGAAUUCAAUAGGACCGAUAUUAAGGAUCAGAUAAGGAAUAAAGCCAACUUCCUCUUUUUCUUCCGAUUAUUUCUUUUUACAGGUGCUUCUUCUAUUCUCGACAAAUUGUUCACCAUUUUUAUAAUUACCGGAAUUUUUGAUAACACAACUUUGUACUGUGCUGAGCCAAUACUUUCUCUACAGGGUGUGCUUCUAUUUGUUAUAACUAU